rnacentral:rRNA from 1 species
CCCUUAGAUGUUCUGGGCCGCACGCGUGCUACACUGAUGCAUUCAAUGAGUCUAAAACCUGGUCUGAUAGGGCUGGGUAAUCUUUUGAAAGUGCAUCGUGAUUGGGAUAGAUGAUUGCAAUUCUUCAUCUUCAACGAGGAAUGCCUAGUAAACGCAAGUCAUCAGCUUGCAUUGAUUACGUCCCUGCCCUUUGUACACACCGCCCGUCGCUCCUACCGAUUGAAUGAUCCGAUGAAUACCAUGGAUUGAGAGUACGAAUAGGUUCGCUUAUUUCUGCUGCUCGAGAAGUGGAGUAAAUCUUAUCAUUUAGAGGAAGGAGAAGUCGUAACA